GCUGGGCACAGUGGUGGAUGCCUGUAAUCCCAGUGGCUCCGGAGGCUGAGGCAGGAGUAUCGCAAGUUCAAAGCCAGAAAACUCAGCAAUUUAGUGAGGCCCUAAGCAAUUUGGGGAGACCCUGUCUCUA
rnacentral:sRNA from 1 species